rnacentral:lncRNA from 1 species
CUUCUUUCACCUACGAGUCCUGUGGUUGAAACUCCAUGGAAAUGGCUAGGAUAGUUUCAAUGAUUGCAAGAUUAGAAAACUGGAAAGAACGGUGGACAGGAAAUCAGCACCAAGCCGUAAAAGAAAAAAGAUCUGCCUCGAUCGAAAGUGAACACGACGAACUUUCAGAGCUGCGCCUUAAAUUAAAUGCAGAUUCAACCCCUGUAUCAUAGUAUUAAUCCUAGUGCAAUUUCUAGAAACUAUUGUUUAGGUAAGUUUUUCAAUUGAAUAACUGUCGAUAUUGUUCCUUCAGGAAUCAUAGGGACAGAAUUGUUACGUUCCCUGAAAUAAUGAAUAUUUCUGGUAAAAAAUCCAAGUUGUGUAAAUUUAUUGUUAAUUAUUAUGGAUGACCGCAAUUGUGAUAUAUUAUUUUACUGUGUUUCCGCGGUGCAUGUUUUAAUUUAGAAUUGUCUCACUUUUCUCUAACUUAUUCAAAUAAAUUUAUGUUUUCAUUUUAUGUACUUAUUUGGUAUCCUAAUUUAUUCAUAAUGAUUAUCGAAAAGUAUUUGAGUAAAAAGUAUUAAAGGAUGUAGUAAUGUAUCACAAGUUACUUGAUAGCUUAAUGUGGUUCCUAUAUUGGGAGAAUGUGCAAAACGCUGUUUCAAAAACUAGCAAAAUUAUGUUUUUAAUUUUCAAAUUUUAUAUGAAAGUAAGUCUCAUGCUUGAAAAAGUGACAAAUUUAUGACCAAGUCAUAUAGGCAUUCUCAAAGAUUCGCAAUGACAAUGUAAUUCUAAAGAAACGAAAUAUCUAUGUUCCAACAAAUAUUUUUGUUUAUCACUCUCUGAAGAUUAAAAAUCUCAAUUUAUUUAUUAAACGUAUAUUAAUCUUGCUAUGAAUGACUAUCAGCUCUCCUGUCGAUGAUGUUUAGUGCUGAUUGCUCAUUUUGUGGAGAACCGUUAAUUGAGUUUAUUUCCAAGUGUACUCUGUAAUCCAAGAUAAUGACACGCUUUCUUCUCUUUUUUAUAAAAAAAUAACUAGAUCCUUCCCUUGGUUAUACUCAUUUGCAAUGGUCUGCUGUGCAUUUAAUGUGUUUCUCUCUCCUCAGAUUAACCUAUGUUACUAAACUCCAUUCAUAACCUGUUCCAAGUCUAGUUCUCCCAUAGUGUAACCAUCCAGACACCUAAUCUCAAAAUACCUCCCAUAUUGUCCAAUUUUCAAGUGCUCCUUUAAUUUUUCAAGGAUUAUCUCCUGUGAUAAAAUAUUUGAAAGUCUCUUCAUGUGCAAUAAUUCAUCUGAUGCUUCAGAUGCAAGAAACAAUAAAAAGCGAAAUUUUUCAUCUAAUAUCACACACGGAGUAAAUUUUAUUUACAAUUUGCGUUUUUUUAUUUUUAAUUUAAAAUAAAAUGAAUGUUUUUACCCAUAUUAAUUUAUUAGUUAUGUGUGACACGUUUUGGUCAGUAUUUAUAAAGUGCUUGGAAAUGUAUGUUUUUUUAUACCAACACUAUGUACUAUAAGUUUCAAUAGUUCAUAUCAUCUCGAGGAUAACUUUACUUUAAAUCAUCGACCAAUCUUUCUUGAAAUGAAAGGCCUCUGUGUGAAAGACUCACAACUUACAAAAAUCUCAAUGCAUCAAGUACCUAAGUAUUUAUUAUUUUUUUAACAUGAUUGAAACAAAGAGUCAAUUCUCUGAAUAGAGUCACUUAAUUUUUUCCAUACAUUCCAUCUGUUUACAAAUCUUAAAUUAUUUUGACUCCUCUCAUUUACAAUUGUUUUUUAUUUUUUUUUUAAGAAUUGAUAUCUUGCGACCUUCACUGUUUUGGUUUAUUAAUACAAAUAUUUUGUUGUUUCAUUUUGUAACCUGCAUUUUUCUUUCCAUCUUUUUAUACCAAUAAAAUUGUUUUAUAUAUCUGACGUGGCCCUCUGGUAUUUCCCUUUGCCUUAUUAUAUUUUCUGUCAUCAUUAACAAUUACCCUAUCCUAA